rnacentral:rRNA from 1 species
UACAGAGGUCUCAAGCGUUGUUCGGAUUCAUUGGGCGCUAAAGGGUGCGUAGGCGGCGCGGUAAGUCGGGUGUGAAAUCUUGGAGCUUAACUCCGAAACUGCAUUCGAUACUGCCGUGCUUGAGGACUGGAGAGGAGACUGGAAUUUACGGUGUAGCGGUGAAAUGCGUAGAUAUCGUAAGGAAGACCAGUGGCGAAGGCGGGUCUCUGGACAGUUCCUGACGCUGAGGCACGAAGGCCAGGGGAGCAAACGGGG